rnacentral:rRNA from 1 species
GACGAACGCUGGCGGCGUGCUUAACACAUGCAAGUCGAACGCUGAAGCACCAGCUUGCUGGUGUGGAUGAGUGGCGAACGGGUGAGUAAUACGUGAGUAACCUGCCCUUGACUCUGGGAUAAGCCCGGGAAACUGGGUCUAAUACUGGAUGCUACAUGUCACCGCAUGGUGGUGUGUGGAAAGGGUUUACUGGUCUUGGAUGGGCUCACGGCCUAUCAGCUUGUUGGUGAGGUAAUGGCUCACCAAGGCGACGACGGGUAGCCGGCCUGGGAGGGUGACCGGCCACACUGGGACUGAGACACGGCCCAGACUCCUACGGGAGGCAGCAGUGGGGAAUAUUGCACAAUGGGCGAAAGCCUGAUGCAGCGACGCCGCGUGAGGGAUGACGGCCUUCGGGUUGUAAACCUCUUUCAGCAGGGAAGAAGCCACAAGUGACGGUACCUGCAGAAGAAGCGCCGGCUAACUACGUG